rnacentral:rRNA from 1 species
GAUGAACGCUAGCGGCAGGCUUAACACAUGCAAGUCGAGGGGUAGAUGGAGCUUGCUCCAUUGAGACCGGCGCACGGGCGCGUAACGCGUAUGCAAUCUACCUUUAUCUGGGGGAUAGCCCGGGGAAACCCGGAUUAAUACCGCAUAACAAAUUGAUUGGCAUCAAUUAAUUUUACAAGAUUUAUCGGAUAGAGAUGAGCAUGCGUAAGAUUAGAUAGUUGGCGAGGUAACGGCUCACCAAGUCUACGAUCGUUAGGGGCUCUGAGAGGAGAAUCCCCCACACUGGCACUGAGAUACGGGCCAGACUCCUACGGGAGGCAGCAGUAGGGAAUAUUGGGCAAUGGGCGCAAGCCUGACCCAGCCACGCCGCGUGCAGGAAGAAGGCCCUCUGGGUUGUAAACUGCUUUUGACCGGGAAGAAAAGAAUCUUUGCGAAGAUAGUUGACGGUACCGGCAGAAUAAGCCACGGCUAACUACGUGCCAGCAGCCGCAGUAACAC